rnacentral:misc_RNA from 1 species
UCUCCGUUGGUGAACCAGCGGAGGGAUCAUUACCGAGUUUACAACUCCCAAACCCCCCGUGAACAUACCUCGACGUUGCUUCGGCGGACCGCCCCGGCGCCCCCGACGCCGCCGCCCCCAGCGGGCGGCGGGCGGCGGCGGCCCGGACCCAGGCGCCCGCCGGGGGACCCCAAGACUCUGUUUUGUAUCUUGCAUUCUGGGUGAACCACACAAUGAAUCAAAACUUUCAACAACGGAUCUCUUGGUUCUG